UUGACCUCGGAUCAAGUAG
rnacentral:rRNA from 3 species